UGGCAAUAAAAUCCAUUAACACAAUAUCCAUCCGAUCCAUCCUAUAAUUUAUCCAUCCAAUCCAUCCAUUAAACAAAAAAAUAAUUUAAUGGAUUUAUCCAAUCCAUCCAUUAAAUCAUAUGGAUGGAUUCAAUCCAUCCAUCUUAUUUUAUAAAUCCAUUGGAUAUUAUUUUAUCAUUUAUUAAAUUAAACUUUUUAAUAUAAAAAUAUAUUGCAUUUAAUUUCUUUUGUUAAACGUUAAAACACAAUAAGAAAAAAAAAUAUUUCAGAUUCAAUUUCCAAAUUUCCCUAAUCACGUUCUCUCCAAAGAAGAACCCUAAUUUCAUUUUCCCCCAAUUUCUUCUUCCCCCAGUUUCUUGAUGAAACCAUUUAGCUAGCAAUUCAACUCAACGUUUUGGUACUACAAUCGCAAUUCAACUCAAAGUUUCGGUGCUACAAUCGCAAUUCAUCUCAGCAUCGCAAAUUCAAAUCAGCAUCGCAACUCAACAUUUCCUAUUCUCGUAAUCGUUGGCUUCUUACUCGAUAUCAUUGGGGUGCUUAUAGCUAUCGCUUGACAUUGCUUUGAUUUCCAAGUUCUACAAAGCUAAAAAGGUUCUUUAACUUGAAGAUGAGUAAUGAUGAGAAAAGUUUUGGCAUGCAAAGAAGAGGUGGAAACAUGAAGAAAUUGAGUCGCUCCAAUCAAUUGGAAUUCUCUUGUAGCUUAAGGACUUUAUGCAAUCUUGAAUCUCGUUUCACCUAGGAAUUCUCUUUUGUAAUUCAAGAACCUUGUGUAAAUGAAAUCCAAAGAUUUGUAGUAAUUUUGUAUCACUUUCUAAACUUAUUAACAUUAAUUAUGUUAUUUA